UAAUCUGUUAGCGGUUGAUGAAUUACUUCAAUAAGUAGCAGAUGCCUAGGGGAAAAUCGCUCGAAAAAUGUUUAAAUAGAGUUUAUAACUAUAGAUAAUUAUGGCAGUAACUGCGGACAUUUGAACACAAGCGAUUAAUGUAUUAAGGUACAUGUGUUCGAUAAGUAGCGUACUAUUUCUGUCCGUGGCAGAAAAGCUUGAAUGGAAAUCACUACACCAACGCGAUCAAAGAACAAGCAAUACCAAAAUCACAAAUAUGCAGAUUCCAGAAAACUUCACAGAAUUUUCUAUCCAGUUGUCAGAAGCACUUGAUGACAAUUGGGAUGGAAAGGAUACUGUAAUGGAGCGGAGACAAUCUUACUUGUGGAUGGAAUGCAUGGAGAUGAUAGGAUCGAAACUAGAUGGAAAGGAUUUUAAAUGUUUUCAUUUUGGGUGCAAAACGGAAGGAACCACAAUUCCUAGGCUCCAAUCUGAUUUUGAUAUGUUAACAAGUCACAACAAGGUGAAUGUCAUGAGAGUCUUGGGAGACUGGCUGACCGUGCUAAUUAACGUUCUGAUGCUCCGCGACGACAUUACAACUCCUCAACAGUACCUACUACAGGUCUUCAGAACGGACACACCCGAACCAGUGACCAAUCUGUUUGUGAGGAAAGACUCUGGAGGAAUACUGGUGAGUGCUGAACGAUGGAAACAGCGCCUCGAACAUAUAAUGCAAGAUCAAGGAGAGGCAACAAAAAAUGGGCCUUCUGUGAGUGAUAUAGCUAAAUGGGAUUUGGUACAAGCAUUUCAUGUACAAAAGCCUCUUCCUGAAAUACAACACUAGAUAGACAGAUGUAGGGGUAGACACUGGCCGCCAGUUCAGCUACUUGAGGCUGCACGAGUAGCCCCGUGUUCCUGGUACCAGACGGUCAUCCAGACAGUGAUUACAAAUGCGAAGAAAGGCGCCUGUCUCCGAACCUGAUAGAACGGAUGUUAAUAUUUAGAUUUAAUAGUACACAAAUAAAAGGUUAUAUUGUGUUAAAACUAAUUAAGAAAUCCUUAUUUUCAAAUUGUGUAGGAGAUUAUAUAUCAAGCUUUCAUUGUAAAACUUAAAUGUUUUACACCAUAGAGAGAACGCAUCCGUCUCUGUGGUGCGAACGUAACCUAAUGUUUCUCCUUUGGCUUUGUUUAAACGUAUUGAGGAAAUGGCUGCGAUUGGGAAGGCUCCCGCAUUUUAUCAUAGAUGAGGUGAACUUGUUCGAUGGAAAAGUUUCUUAUGUGCAGCAGAGGCGCCUUUUAGUGUAUGUAGAUUCAAUGAUAAAAAACAACUUGCAAGAUGUAUUUUACAUUGAUAUAGAUGAAAUAAGAAGUCGGUUACAAGAAUGUAGUAUAGGGCGAAUUGGACAAGCUGGGGGGGGGGGGGCUUGGACGUGAAUGUUUACGUAACAGCAUCAGCUUACUGCUGAAGUUUGAGUGCUUGGAAAACUUGUUUAACUCAUUACCAUGUUUUAUAUCACAAAUACACGGUUCUAAUACUUUAACCUUAGAGCAAGAGAUACAAUGUGCAGUACAACAAGUUGUUGAAUUCUUCACUAAUGUCAGAUUAUACACGUGUAUGCGUAACAAAAUUCAAUGAAAGCAUCUAACUGUUUGCGACUUCGAAAUGUUAUUAACAGCGAAAGUUUAAGUCGUUUUCAAUAUUCCUUAAACACAGAUGUAGCUUCUAGUCGCUUGAAGUUGGCUUCCAUAUUGUACUGGAGUGGACAUUUUAACGCGGCAUUAAGAGUGUUGGAGGUUGUGGAAAAAAGGUAUCACAGAGUGGUCAAGGAUGUGUGUGGAAUAAUACUUAUAGAAGGAGACCGUGAUCUCCAGGUGUUGGCUAACAUGCUAUCAGGCAACAAGUACAAGGGAUUCAGUGAACUGCAAUUCGCAUUUUGUGUCCGGUUUCUAAGGGAAGAAACUUACUGCGUCCCAUGCAUUUUGUUGUAUGAAAUGAAGCCUAAUAUCACUGAAGAGGAAAUUGCAGAAAGACACCCUGUUCAUAAACGAUGGAUGGACAGUGCUGAAGUGGAUGCUCGUCCGUCCUUGAACUAUUUACAAUGCCUCACUUAUGGAGGAAUCGGUGGUCGUGACGAUCAGCUGCGUGCAUUGGACGCCUUGCGGUCUAAUGAAUAUGUUGCAAAAAUUAAAAUCAACCUGUAUCACCAAGAGACUGCACUGAACAUGCUGGGGCAUUGCUAUGAGAUUGAAGGAGAAUAUGAUUUGGCGUUAUAUUACUACGAGGUUUCGUUAAGUCUGUGCAAUCCAAACAAUGCUGCUAACUGGCACCUCGAGCGUAUUCUUCGUCUAAUAGGAGGUUAAAAAUAAGACAGAGACUUGUUUUCUAAACAAUCUUACAAAACAAAAUACUAAACAGGCAUUUUGUUAAGGAAAAACUAUUGUAUGAUCAGUUAUUUUGCUUUGUUUAAUUAUUCAAUAAUAUAAAACUAUGUAAGACACGCACUUUUCAAGUAUAUUUCAAAAUAGUAACAUGCAUGCCUAUGGUGCAUGCCCUGUAAUGAUUUUCUCAUACAGAAGGAACUAUGUUGUAACCUUUGUGAUGUUGUUUUGUAAACUGAUUAAUGUGUGUUGUCAAUGUCCAUGUAUGCAUAAGUAAGAAGUUAUGAGCUGCAACUACAAUUAUUAAUAUACAUGUGUAACUCCAUUUGAAAAUGAUACAUUUUAUCACCAUUAUCAUGUUCAACUAACAUUGGAUUCGUUAGUUGUUUUAACGACUUAAUAGCUUAAACAAAUAAGUAUUGAUUCCAUUCACCGUACCGAUUUAGCCGUAACUGCUAGCCAUAUGUAGAUGUCAUUACUAUUUUUAGGUAAAUUAACCACUAGUAUUUGCAAAUAUUCGAAUUCCAACGUAUUGUUCUUGUUGGAAAUUAUAGUAAACGUUGUUUUAUUUUUUUUAGAAAUCGCGUUUACAUGCGAGAUACAUAAUCAUUCAAUUUAUCUCAUUCAAUACUAGAAAUAAUCGACCCUUUGUACAGCCAUCAUUCCGAUCAUUUCUCAGUAAAUCAUAGAUAGAUAGAUAUAUAGAUUGAUUUUAGUAUAAGGAUAAAACAUGAUAAAACAUAUCUACAUACAUGAUAAAAUAGUAAAACAAUAAACAUGUAUAAGAAAUGAAACCAUGCUAAUUACAUUGCACCAAGGAUUAUUUCCAUUGUGGUCCUUGUAUAGUGACAUAGAGAGGUAUGAGAAGAAUAUCAGAGAUUUGAGUUAUAAAAGACAAUUAUUUGCAUAAAAAGGUAGAUAUAUUAAAAUGUGAAUCAAUUAAAAAUUAACUAUAUAGAUCUAAAAGAGUGAUUACAUAUUAAGAAGAUGAGUUUUGACUGACAACUUAAAAUUAGAUAUACUUGUAAUAUUCCUUAAGAAGGAAGGUAGUUUGUUCCACAGAACACAAGCAUUAUAUGCAAAAGAUUAAGCACCAAAACCUUUGACUUUGGGUAAAAUAUAGCACCCACGUUCGCUUGACCUAAGUGUAAGGUUGAGCGCUCUAUAACCAGGUUUAAACCCCCAAUGCUUUGCAUUGACCGUUCCAAGGCGGUGACCCCAGCUUUAUUCAUAUUUUGUGUUUAUGUUGGUUUGUAUUGUGCUGUAUUGUGCUGUUUUGUACUGUUUGGGAAAUCGGCCACUUGCCUUAAAUAAAGGACCAACUAAUUGUAUUUAAUGAAAAUUCAAUACUGCUCCAGCAGCUGGCGUUUCACUUCUUUAUAUUGUAUGAAUAAAGAGUGUC